GAGUUUGAUCUUGGCUCAGGAUGAACGCUAGCGGCAGGCUUAACACAUGCAAGUCGAGGGGUAUAGGUUUUCGGACCUAGAGACCGGCGCACGGGUGCGUAACGCGUAUGCAAUCUGCCUUUUACAGAGGGAUAGCCCAGAGAAUUUGGAUUAAUACCUCAUAGUAUAUGUCUUUCGCAUGUUAGACAUAUUAAAGUUCCAACGGUAAAAGACGGGCAUGCGUCCUAUUAGCUAGAUGGUAAGGUAACGGCUUACCAUGGCAACGAUAGGUAGGGGUCCUGAGAGGGAGAUCCCCCACACUGGUACUGAGACACGGACCAGACUCCUACGGGAGGCAGCAGUGAGGAAUAUUGGACAAUGGGCGCAAGCCUGAUCCAGCCAUGCCGCGUGCAGGAAGACGGUCCUA
rnacentral:rRNA from 1 species